CAACGAGGAAUCCCUAGUAAGCGCAAGUCAUCAGCUUGCGUUGAUUACGUCCCUGCCCUUUGUACACACCGCCCGUCGCUACUACCGAUUGAAUGGCUCAGUGAGGCUUCCGGACUGGCCCAGGGAGGUCGGCAACGACCACCCAGGGCCGGAAAGUUAUCCAAACUCGGUCAUUUAGAGGAAGUAAAAGUCGUAACAAGGUCUCCGUUGGUGAACCAGCGGAGGGAUCAUUA
rnacentral:rRNA from 1 species